UACAGAGGGUGCAAGCGUUAAUCGGAAUUAUUGGGCGUAAAGGGCGCGUAGGUGGCGACACAAGUCUGAUGUGAAAUCCCCGGGCUUAACCGGGAAAGGACUUCGAAAACUGCUCGACUUGAGGACUGGAGAGGAAGGCGGAAUUCCGGGUGGAGCGGUGAAAUGCGUAGAGAUCCGGAGGAACACCGACGGCGAAGGCAGCCUUCUGGAAAGUACCUGACGCUGAGGGGCGAAAGCUAGGGGAGCGAACGGG
rnacentral:rRNA from 1 species